rnacentral:rRNA from 1 species
CCUACGGGAGGCAGCAGUAGGGAAUUUUCGUCAAUGGGCGCAAGCCUGAACGAGCAAUGCCGCGUGAACGAGGAAGGUCUUCGGAUCGUAAAGUUCUGUUGUAGGGGAACAAGAGCGGUGAGAGGAAAUGCUUUCUGAUUGAUAUUACCCUUCGAGGAAGUCACGGCUAAUUACGUGCCCGCCGCCGAGGUAAUACGUUGGUGGCGUGCGUUUUCCGGAUUUAUUGGGCGAAAAGGGUGCGUAGGCGGCCUGGUAAGUGUGGAGUGAAAGGGACGGGCUAAACCGGUACAAGCUUUGGAGACUGGCGAACUAGAGUGCAGGAGAGGACGGUGGAACUCCAUGUGUAGCGGUGAAAUGCGUAGAUAUAUGGAAGAACACCAGUGGCGAAGGCGGCCGCCUGGCCUGUUACUGACGCUGAGGCACGAAAGCGUGGGGAGCAAAUAGGAUUAGAUACCCGUGUAGUC